GACUAUGGAAGGCCAAGAUCAUUUCCUCACGUGAUCUCAAAGGACCCCGCCCUAACAAGAUGGCGAUUUAAAGAGAAAGUCCUUGAAGACAAGAAACCCGGCCAGUGAGAUUAUUGAAAAAGUUGUAAUGUUACUUGGAUGUAUGAGGAAUCUGGACCUCACUGUAGCCUGCUGUGCAAGUGUGUAGCCUGCUGCCCGGCGACUAUCUAUGCUGGCACUCAGUGAAAACUACUUCAACUAAGUGUGUUUCCUACAUUUGAGUGUUGUUGGUGGGAUAAAGAAACCAAUAACUAUUCAAGGAGUUUAAGUAUUCCAUAUUUGUGUUGGUAUUACAUAUUUUGUGCUCAAAAUUCCUUUUAUUCGUUUACAGGCAAAAACAAAAA
rnacentral:lncRNA from 1 species